UACGGAGGGUGCGAGCGUUGUCCGGAAUCAUUGGGCGUAAAGGGCGCGUAGGUGGCCCGGUCAGUUCGUGGUGAAAGCGCGGGGCUCAACCCCGAAUCGGCCGUCGAUACUCCCGGGCUUGAGCACUGUAGAGGCUAAUGGAAUUCCGGGUGUAGCGGUGGAAUGCGUAGAGAUCCGGAAGAACACCGGUGGCGAAGGCGGUUAGCUGGGCAGUUGCUGGACACUGAGGCGCGACAGCGUGGGGAGCAAACAGGG
rnacentral:rRNA from 1 species